rnacentral:rRNA from 1 species
GAGUGGACGCUGGCGGUAGGCCUAACACAUGCAAGUCGAACGGCAGCCCAGUAAGAGCUUGCUCUUACGGGUGGCGAGUGGCGGACGGGUGAGGAAUACAUCGGAAUCUACUUUUUCGUGGGGGAUAACGUAGGGAAACUUACGCUAAUACCGCAUACGACCUACGGGUGAAAGCAGGGGAUCUUCGGACCUUGCGCGAUUGAAUGAGCCGAUGUCGGAUUAGCUAGUUGGCGGGGUAAAGGCCCACCAAGGCGACGAUCCGUAGCUGGUCUGAGAGGAUGAUCAGCCACACUGGAACUGAGACACGGUCCAGACUCCUGCGGGAGGCAGCAGUGGGGAAUAUUGGACAAUGGGCGCAAGCCUGAUCCAGCCAUACCGCGUGGGUGAAGAAGGCCUUCGGGUUGUAAAGCCCUUUUGUUGGGAAAGAAAAGCAGCAGGUUAAUACCCCGCUGUUCUGACGGUACCCAAAGAAUAAGCACCGGCUAACUUCGUG